rnacentral:rRNA from 1 species
AGGAAAGUAGGGGAUCGCAAGACCUUGCGCUUUUGGAGCGGCCGAUGUCUGAUUAGCUAGUUGGUGAGGUAAAGGCUUACCAAGGCUUCGAUCAGUAGCUGGUCUGAGAGGACGACCAGCCACACUGGGACUGAGACACGGCCCAGACUCCUACGGGAGGCAGCAGUGGGGAAUUUUGGACAAUGGGGGAAACCCUGAUCCAGCCAUGCCGCGUGAGUGAAGAAGGCCUUCGGGUUGUAAAGCUCUUUCAGCCGGAACGAAAAGGUUACGGUUAAUACCCGUGACUAAUGACGGUACCGGAAGAAGAAGCACCGGCUAACUACGUGCCAGCAGCCGCGGUAAUACGUAGGGUGCGAGCGUUAAUCGGAAUUACUGGGCGUAAAGCGUGCGCAGGCGGUUUUGUAAGUCAGAUGUGAAUCCCCGGGCUCAACCUGGGAACUGCGUUUGAAACUACAAGGCU